AGUGCAACACCAGAAAACAUGGCCCGAGGCACAGGAUGGGUGUUGGAAACACAACUGUCCUGGAAUUUAAUACGGCAAAAAUAAAAUAACCACAACUGAGAUCUGCAUUCAACUGGCACGGUGACGUUCAAGCUGCUCACUUUAAUCCUCCUGCUACUGCGCUGCUGUCAGCUUCACCUACACACCGUAAGUCACAGCUCCCACAACUUCCUGCUCCGGUUCCCCUCUGAUCUACUGCUGUCUCCCAUCUGAUCAAUCCCUGACUGACAACGGACGGAAGAUGCUGCUCUGUGUGCAAAAUGGUGCCAAAGUGUGACGGGGCGCACUCCGGGGUCCCGACCCUCCAGCCUGGAUGACACGUAACGGCAGGAAACGAGACGGGAAGCGGCAGGAGGGGAGAAAUCAGCGCGGCGCGGACGCCGGAGCCUCCGAGCCCCUGACGAAUCACCGCCGCGCCACCUGAACACGCCUGUGUUCGUGCGAGACGUGCGCGCAUCCGGAGCCCAGCUGUGAGCGGGGCUGCCCCCGCUUUUUGUCUGGAAAAAGCCCCCGCUGGCCGCCGCGGUGCACGCACGGGGACGGGGGGAACGCGCGGACGGGCGGGCGGACGGACCUUUGCACCCGCCACGGCGGCGCAGAGGGGUGGUUUCGGCCACUGCACCACAGCCUGUCUGCGAGGAAUACCAAUGACCCGCGGCUCCGGCACCGACGGCGCUUUUUACCGUUCGGUCCGCGAAAUGUUCCCCGAAAAAAAAGCCCAACUCCAGCGCCUCACACCCCCCGAGCGCUGCAUCCGCGUUAACCCCAUUGUCUGUGUCACCCCCUCGUUCCACGCUAAGCUAGCCGAGCUAACGGCGGGCUGUUCCCACUCAAUCCGCCCCGGAGACGGAUCGAUACUCACCCGCGUU